rnacentral:rRNA from 1 species
GGCGAAAGCCUGACGGAGCAACGCCGCGUGAGUGAUGAAGGUCUUCGGAUCGUAAAACUCUGUUAUUAGGGAAGAACAUAUGUGUAAGUAACUGUGCACAUCUUGACGGUACCUAAUCAGAAAGCCACGGCUAACUACGUGCCAGCAGCCGCGGUAAUACGUAGGUGGCAAGCGUUAUCCGGAAUUAUUGGGCGUAAAGCGCGCGUAGGCGGUUUUUUAAGUCUGAUGUGAAAGCCCACGGCUCAACCGUGGAGGGUCAUUGGAAACUGGAAAACUUGAGUGCAGAAGAGGAAAGUGGAAUUCCAUGUGUAGCGGUGAAAUGCGCAGAGAUAUGGAGGAACACCAGUGGCGAAGGCGACUUUCUGGUCUGUAACUGACGCUGAUGUGCGAAAGCGUGGGGAUCAAACAGGAUUAGAUACCCUGGUAGUCCACGCCGUAAACGAUGAGUGCUAAGUGUUAGGGGGUUUCCGCCCC